CAUUUUAUUUUUCUCGUAGCUUCGCCUCUUUUUUUCCUAAAUCUCAAUCUCAACUGUGUUUACCCUAACAAUUACCAGAGUUCUCUCUCUCUCUCUCUCUCUUUCUCUCUCUCUCUCUGUCUCUCUCUCUCUUCCAUCAUUGUCUUUGCUGCGGUCUCGAGAUCUCUCAACGGCGUUCUUUGUACGCCUAGCUCCUCUGCUUCCUCUUCUCUGCCAGGCCCGCUUGCCGUCUCCUCUAAGCUGUGUAUGAGCGUCCUACCAGCAUCGCCUCCAACCUCCAUCAGCUCUACCAGCGCCCAUCGCAAGGUUUUCAUGUUUUUACAAGAGGAGAAGCACCCUCUUACGCAUUCCACACGAUGCUUCUAUCCCAGAUCUGCUCGCUACUUAUGUACCACUUGGUUAAGAUUAUGCCUUUAUUUAAAUUGGAUCAGAUUUCUUUCUCUAUUAUUUGGUUCCAAAUCCAUCCCUUUUUCUUUUUGAUUUAGUUUCAAUUUACACUUUUUUUUUGUUCUUGCCAAGAACAUAGAACAAAAGACGGUGAAGCAAAAUCCAAUCCACCAACGAUGCAU